UCUCCGUUGGUGAACCAGCGGAGGGAUCAUUACCGAGUUUACAACUCCCAAACCCCCUGUGAACUUAUACCUUAUACUGUUGCUUCGGCGGGUUCUCGCCCCGGGACAGGUUCUCUCUUGAGCCAGCCCGGAACCAGGCGCCCGCCGGGGGACCCCUAAACUCCUGUAUUUUUUUACUUUUACAUGUCUGAGUGGAAUCAUAUAAAAUGAAUCAAAACUUUCAACAACGGAUCUCUUGGUUCUG
rnacentral:misc_RNA from 1 species